rnacentral:rRNA from 1 species
UGGGGAAUAUUGGACAAUGGAGGAAACUCUGAUCCAGCAAUUCUGUGUGUGUGAAGAAGGUUUUAGGACUGUAAAACACUUUUAGUAGGGAAGAAAAAAAUGACGGUACCUACAGAAGAAGCAACGGCUAAAUACGUGCCAGCAGCCGCGGUAAUACGUAUGUUGCGAGCGUUAUCCGGAAUUAUUGGGCUUAAGGGCAUCUAGGCGGUAAGACAAGUUGAAGGUGAAAACCUGUGGCUCAACCAUAGGCUUGCCUACAAAACUGUUGAACUAGAGUACUGGAAAGGUGGGUGGAACUACACGAGUAGAGGUGAAAUUCGUAGAUAUGUGUAGGAAUGCCGAUGAUGAAGAUAACUCACUGGACAGAAACUGACGCUGAAGUGCGAAAGCUAGGGGAGCAAACAGG